UACGUAGGGAGCAAGCGUUGUCCGGAAUCAUUGGGCGUAAAGCGCGCGUAGGCGGCCCUGUAAGUCCGUUGUGAAAGUCAAAGGCUCAACCUUUGAAAGCCGAUGGAUACUGCAGGGCUAGAGUCCGGAAGAGGCGAGUGGAAUUCCUGGUGUAGCGGUGGGAUGCGCAGAUAUCGGGAAGAACACCCGUGGCGAAGGCGGUUCACUGGGACGGUACUGGACGCUGAGACGCGAAAGCGUGGGGAGCAACG
rnacentral:rRNA from 1 species